CAGGUUGGAGACAGAUCUGAAAAUCCUCCUGGAAUAAACAGGACACAGUGGGGGGCUCUGGGCCCCAUCUCUAGGUAACAAACCAGAUCUCACAGUGACCCUGGCACCCUUGGCAGUAGGCACAGGUCCUGGCCUGUCCUAACACCCCACCCCAUGUAUGCUGGCUGCAGGUGCCCGGCACCACCCAUGCAGCUCACAGCACUCCCCGGCACUUCCUUCAGGAAAGGUGACUGUCUGAGAGCCGUCAGUGCAGUGCUCAUCACCUGGUUUCCAAGGUCUCAGGUAUGGCCAUGUCGCCAGGAGCACAGGAACUUGGCUGGGAGUCUCAACUCAGUCCCCAUCAUCGCCUCCUUCCAACGCAUCCCUCUGGCUGAAUGUCAUUGGGGUCACCUCAGGCUAUGGAGCACAGCCUUCUGCAGACGCCUACACAGCAAACACAACUGAGGCCCAGUGGAGGUGAAAGGGCUUCUUCAUAUCAUCUCUGGAGGUGGCCUAGACUGGAAACUAUCACUGCAGGUGCUGCAGUACCUGGGUGACGCCUUGCUGAAAAUGAGCACAGGUUACACCUAGAUCUUGUGCCAAGGAGAUGUUCUGCUGUGGCACAAGCUGGCUUCUCGGAAUCACGGCCAAAUCCAGGGCAGCACCAGUGAAAGCGCAAGCUGAGCCCAGAGCAUCCAGCAGCGCCGGGAAGCAAGGAAGUGUUCCGAAAUGCUAAGAACACAUCCAAAGGCCGCGGGAGUCAGUCUGCCAGCAUCAAAUCAUCAACAACAGUAAUGGCAUAGAACUCAUUGGAUAUAGGAAAAACCUACCAACCCACCCUGGGUGGUGGAACCUCCUGGAACACUGGCAAGCAGAGAGAGACGCAGAGCCUCAGGCUGGCGGCACCUCCCCCCCAUUUGGGGUCUUUUCUUUUAUCCUCAAUAGCUUUUGCAUUCUGCAAGCCCAAGGAGUUAAAAACUGUGUGGACCCCUCCACAUGUCACCACCAGUACCCUCCCUUCGAGCACUGGCCUGAGCUGCACUGAGCCACAGGAGUCACCGCUGGGACAGCCAAGGAGCGUGUCACCAGAACAUGAGGAGCAGAAUCCUACAACAGGCGAAUGGGGCUGCUAUGUGUGCCCCAAAGCACUCUAGCCACUCUGCCUGCAACGAGCUAGCUCUCCGAGCACGGGAAGGGGGCAGCCUCAGAGAUCCCUGAAAUGCUUUCGAUGGCUUUCUCCCAUUGACUUGGUGACUGGCACUCAGCUUCCUUCCGUCCCUGUUAAUCUCCUUAGCAAACGCGGCCUAGCCACACCCUUGGAUUUCUCUCCUAAACACGCUGCUAUUUCAUUCUUUUGUGGAGCCAGGCUGUGGUUUUCCAAAUCCUUACUGUCUGCUCGCUUUUUAAUUAUAAAUUCCAUCUUUAAAUCAUUUCUCAUUUCAUGUAUUUUACUCCAUGCAUUGAAAAGAAGCCCUGCAUCUCUUUGACUGCUUUGCAGCUUAGCUAUUUCCUACUAUGGGCCUGGGUUCUGUUGCUCACAGUCACCGCAAACCUCCCCCUAUCCACUCAGCUCAGAAAUUGCACUGUGUUGAAGAAACACCUGAAAAACCCUGCUAAAGGACUCGCUGGGUCCCUGUGACUGCUGGCGAGUAGACCCUCUAGCUUCACUUGCGUUUGGAUGUUUGCUUUCUCACCACCUCUAUGGCACAGAUGUAGCUCAGUUGUAAAAUGCUUGCCUAAUGCGCGGAAGGCUCUGAGUCCAUAUCCCCAGCACCACCACAAAAAAAAUUCUGGAGGUCGUGUAACUGAGCAGCUUUGCUGAAAACAACGCCUCUGACACACGGAGAGCUGUGGCAAAGGCAACCUAAAUUGUUUUUUGGGAACUUGGAGGUAGCUCAGACCAGUUGGAACCACCCACCCUUCACUUGGGCCUGUGCGAGUGGCCUACAGGUGACAUUUUGUUGCCAGAGCACCUCAAAUUCCACUCUCAGAAUGUGCUUAUGCUGCCACUUCCUGAGCACACAUGCUAUGCAGAGCCAUGCAGUGUGAUUGUGCAUGCACAGAUAUGAGCUCUUCCUUUUUCCUUUCCCUACACCUAUGACUACCUUGCUUAUUUGUCCCACGAAUACCCCUAAGUGCUAUCCUCAGGGAGGUGGCUCCCGCCUCCAUAUGCUUGGCUGCCUUGUAAAUAAAUUCUUUCUCUUUUGCAAA